AGAAAGAAAGAAAGAAAAGAAAGAAAGAAAGAAAAGAGAGAAAGAAAGAAAGAAAGAAAGAAAGAAAGAAAGAAAGAAAGAAAGAAAGAAAGAGCAGUCUACCUGAGGCUCUCUGGGCUCCCCACACUGGUUUCCUCCUCUCUGGGUCUUCAGUACCCAUGGCCCUUUCCCAACUCAUGUUCUUUUUUUUCUUUUUUUUCUUUUUUUUUUAAGAUUUUAUUUAUUCAUGAGAGACAGAGAGAGAGGCAGAGACACAGGCAGAGGGAGAAGCAGGCUCCCACCAGGUUGCCCGAUGUGGGACUCGAUCCUGGGACUCCUGGAUCAUGCCCUGGGCCGAAGGCAGGUGCUAAACAGCUGAGCCACCCAGGGAUCCCUCCGAUUCAUGUUCUUUACUCUCCAUGACACAUCUGUUUGGAAGGUACCUUCCCGCCUCUUCACAUGACACUCAUUACCCUGUCUAGAGGUCACUCCCCGAGAAAGGCCUCUUUGACCAGCAUAUCCAAAUUGUCUCAUAUCACCAGCCCAUAGUUAGUCUCUAUCACAGCACAGCCUAUAUUUUCCUGGAUACCAAUGGGUGUUGACAUGUUACCCUUGCUCCUCUGAAGGUCGGGGUACUCCAGGGUUUACAGCAGGUUGGCAGGGAGGAUAAGGUACCCCUUCUGGAGCCUGAAAGUGGGGCCAGAGGAGCCUCAGGCUCACUCACAUACAGACAUGGGAGAAAUGCAUCUGUCUCAACCUCUUUGAUGGAGAGGCCCUCCCCAGGUGUGGGCAAAGGGUGCAGACACCCCAGAUCCAGCACCCGGCUCCGUUCUGUCUGGCCUCUGCAUUCCCAGCUGUUGCUAUUUGGGAAGAGCCCAACCCCCUAACUGAAGCUGGGGCGGAGCUGGGAGCCACUUGUGCAGAAAGUGGGGGCAGGAGGGAGGGAAGAGAGGACUUCAGUGUCUUCCCAGCCCCACUCUCUCCACAGAAGUCACUCUUCCACUUAGGAACUUCUAGAAAUAAAUGUACAAAAUACUACCCCCUCCAAGAAAAUAGAGCACCUGCAUAACUUCUUGGGAGCAGAAAUGGUGUACCGUGAACACUCAGGUGCCCCGGGGCCUAUUCCAGCCCUGCUACCCUGUACUCUGGUGAAGAGACACCCAUGUGGAGCUGACUUGGCUAAAAUAUACUGCAGUGAUGGUAGAAGCUGCCAGUCCUCCCCUAUGCCUUCCCAGGAACAGGAACUCUGGGGCCUCUGAGACUAGCAGUGAAGGGACAGCCUGGUGUUCCCAUGUUCCAUAGCAGCACCAUGCCAGGUGCCUGAAGUUCUGACAGUUUUGGGCCAGACAGGUUUUCUUCGGCUGUCACCAAGUCUCCAGGGCUGCCCCAGGCCUCCACCACAGCCUGCAUAAGCAAAAGAACUGUGGACACAGAAAGGCCUGGGAAGAAGGUGGGGCUGAGAACAGCUUAGGGAAAAUGACCUAGGUGGAAAUUUCCAUGACUGUUCUGCUUGGGCGAAGACCAGCUGAUGCCCAAGGUGUAGACAGAGGCUGUGGAAAGGUUACAAAGGGUCACCCUUCCUCAUUCUCCCAGAUCUUAAUCACCUACUGCCCCACCCUGAAUCUGGGUCAUAGAGCUCAAUCAGUUGUGUCCCCUCUGUGUCCCCACAUCCAGCCCUUUUUACUGUCAGCUCCCUGGUUCAUGGACAUCUGCCACCUCUCCCCCCAUUCACCCUGCCAGUCAGAACCCCCCACCCCACCCGCUUUAGAGCCCAGGUGGGGUCCUUUUCCUGCUACAGGAGGCCUUCAUACCUGAAUGGUCAGUCUGUCCUGCAGACAUAAUGGUCCAGUGACCUCAGCAGCACUCCUGUGACCACACCCUUUUCCCAGGGACUCAUCUGUUGUUAUCUUAAACUAUGGCAUAUUUGUUUAUCCUUUUUACUUUAUAUCCUUGAAAACAGAGUCCCAGUCUUCCUGUAGCCCUGCCCCAGCUGAGAGCAGCUCUACAUGUGGGUUCUGCAGCAUCCACGCAGUUGAUCCUGUGUGGCCUCUGGCUUGGGCUGGCAUAGGGGGGCCUCUACUUUCCAGCUGCUGGUUCCCCAGAUCUGCCCCCAGCCCAAGCCAGCACGACCCCAGUAGAAUUCGGGCAGGAAAUGUGUAUAGGCUCGACUCCCUCCUUGUUCCCAGCCAGAAUGCCAGGCAUAGCCAGUUCUAGAGGCUGAGAGUCUUGGGCCCUGGCCAAAGCCGUCCCUCUGGGGUCUGUCUGGUCUCACUCACCGACCCUCAGCUCCAGCCUGGCACCUGGAGUGUCCUGAACCUGCUUUUUUUUCCCCCCGUUCUUCCACACAGCCUAAAUGUCACCCUCCUCGCUGAAGCUCCCCUGAAGUCCCUUGAAGACCAUGGAUGUCUCCCUCCCAUCCUCUACCCCAUCGGGUCCUUCAACACUGAAAGCAUUACACAGAGGAGUCACGAAGAGAGUGGCCCCAAGAGUCCCACACACUUGGUCCGAGCCUUGUUCUUCCACUUGCUGUCUGUACUCUGUGUGACAUUGGGAAGUUACUUAACCUCUCUGGAUCAAGUUUUUUCCUCAGUGAAAUGGGAAUGAUCUGUAUGGUACCCGUUGUCAUGAUUGUGAGGUUGUCAGCACCUUACUACAGUGCCCGGCUCAAACGUCGUGCCCUAUAAAGGGUGGCUGUCACUACCAGACAGCACCUUCCCUCCCCUGCAGCACUAAGCCCAGAGCAGGGCACACAGCCCACCUGCCAGGCCCUCAGAUCUGACAGGACCCAGGCACAUCUAGGGAAAGGGUUAAAUAUCCGCAGUGACUUCAUUGGGCUUUGGAACAGGAAGGAGGCAGAGAAGGUAACAAAAUCAGGUCUUAGCCAAAUGGAAUUUUCCAGUGCUCAUAAAUAGGACCAGUCAGGUUGCUAAGGGAGGUCACCAUGGAAACAGUCAUGUGCUCCACCUUCUGGUUAUUCCAACCUGGUUCCGGGAGGAUGACACAAGCUCCAAGCCUCUUCAUUGGCUGACACCUUCCUCUUGCCACUUAAUCUGGCUGGAGAUUGGCUAAGUGCAGUUGCUGGGUUGGAGUUAGACAUUCCUCCCUCUCCGCUGUUCCCCGAACCUGCUGGAAGCUGUUAUUUUGAACUAGAGGGAGAAGAAAAUAGGCCGGCAGAGAUGUUGCCACAGCAACCGGUUUCCUUUCUGCCCUCCUUGGAGUUAGUAGUUGACUUGUCUGCAGCUCAAGAACUUUUCCAAAGGCAGCCAUUUUACACUGUCUUAAUCUUAUUUUGAACAGGAACUCCCUCAUCUUCCAGAGUAGUCAAGGAACUUCUGAACCCCUACUUAGGACCUUGGUACCAAUCCACCCUUGGGGGCCUUUGUUUCUCUUCAUGAAAUGGGAUUUCAUUCCAGGACUCACUAGUUCCAGGCCUGGAGUAAGGCUCCCACUGGACCAAGUUUGCAAAUGCUCAUUAUAAACUGUAAACCUCAGUACAGUCACCUUGUGUCUGUAAUUGACAGUUAUUGACAUCAGGAUUCUUCUGUAGAAGAUCUCCAGAGGUCCUUUCUAGCUCUGACAUUCCACAAUCCUGUUAAAGGCCUGCCUGCUUUCCAUAACUAAGCUGUGGAACUCAUCAUCUUGUAGGAGGCAAAAAUACAGGCAACUGCCCCACACCGAGCACUUUCUAUGUGGAGAGACACACAGAGAGAAGCAAGAGACACAGGCAGAGGGAGAAGCAGGCUCCACGCAGGG